rnacentral:rRNA from 1 species
GACGAACGCUGGCGCGCGCUUAACACAUGCAAGUCGAACGGAAAGGCCUGCUUUCCCUUGUGGAUUGCGGGUACUCGAGUGGCGAACGGGUGAGUAACACGUGAGUGAUCUGCCCCCAACUUGGGUAUAAGCCUGGGAAACUGGGUCUAAUUCCCGAUAGGACUGCAGGGUGGUGCCUGUGGUGGAAAACGAUUUUCUAGUGGUUGGGGAUGAGCUCGCGGCCUAUCAGCUUGUUGGUGGGGUAAUGGCCUACCAAGGCGGCGACGGGUAGCCGGCCUGAGAGGGUGGACGGCCACAUUGGGACUGAGAUACGGCCCAGACUCCUACGGGAGGCAGCAGUGGGGAAUAUUGCACAAUGGGCGGAAGCCUGAUGCAGCGACGCCGCGUGGGGGAUGACGGCCUUCGGGUUGUAAACUCCUUUCGACCGCGAGGAAGCCACCUGGUUGGAAGGGUGGUGACGGUAGUGGUAGAAGAAGCACCGGCUAACUACGUG